UACGACCUACGGGACGCAGCAGUGGGGAAUAUUGCGCAAUGGGCGAAAGCCUGACGCAGCGACGCCGCGUGUGGGAAGACGGUCCUCUGGAUUGUAAACCACUGUCCCCAGGGACGAAGAUGACGGUACCUGGGGAGGAAGCUCCGGCUAACUACGUGCCAGCAGCCGCGGUAAUACGUAGGGAGCAAGCGUUGUCCGGAUUUAUUGGGUUUAAAGGGAGCGUAGAUGGGUUGUUA
rnacentral:rRNA from 1 species